CAGAGGGUGCGAGCGUUGUUCGGAAUUACUGGGCGUAAAGCGCGCGCAGGCGGUCCUUUAAGUCUACCCGUGAAAUGCCGGAGCUCAACUCCGUGCACGCCGGGGGAUACUGGAGGACUGGAGACGAGUAGAGGCAAGCGGAAUUCCGGGUGUAGCGGUGGAAUGCGUAGAGAUCCGGAAGAACACCGGAGGCGAAGGCGGCUUGCUGGGCUUGGUCUGACGCUGAGGCGCGAAAGCGUGGGGAGCGAACAGGAUUAGAUACCCUGGUAGUCCACGCCGUAAACGAUGGGCACUAGACGCGGGUGGGAUCGACCCCUUCUGUGUCGCAGCUAACGCGCUAAGUGCCCCGCCUGGGGAGUACGGCCGCAAGGCUG
rnacentral:rRNA from 1 species